rnacentral:misc_RNA from 1 species
AAGACUAUAGACCUGCGGAGUACCUGCGGAGGGAUCAUUACCGAGUUAGGGUCUCUAUGGCCCGAUCUCCACCCCUGUGUUUAUUAUACCAUGUUGCUUUGGCAGGUCUGCCUUUCGGGGCUGCCGGGGUCUUUGCUGCCCCUGGCGUGCACCUGCCAGAAGCCUUCUUAAAUUCUGUGUUGAAUUGUGUUGUCUGAGUCCCAAUAUUAAAUUAUGAAAAACUUUCAACAAUGGAUCUCU